GACACAUCGAAAUAUAUCGUACCACAACGUUUCAAGUAACAGCAGCAGCAGCUUGAAAGAGGAAUAAGGCAGAAACAGAAGAGAAACGCGUGCAAUGGACGGCGCUCCAAUUAAUGGGCCGGUCCAAGGCGGUCAGAAAAAAACGUCAUCGAGUUCUAUUUACGAGCUGUUCUUUAAAAUCGCGUUAGUCGAAGCCCGUGGCACGGACACCAUUGACGGCAACCAUACGCUUCUUGGGGCCUGAUAUGAUGAGAGCCGCCUUAUAAGGGUUACAACCGGUGUUUAAAGUCACCAGCGGCGCGGCUUUCACCAAUUUAAAGUCAGAUUGCGACCCACCCGGCUUCUAAUCGCCUCUCAUCUAUACACACAGAGAAUCGUACGCCCGUAAUCGAUCCGCCGAUUUCGCCUUGUAGCCAAGAAGACGGCUGUGAUUCGUUGCUUUGCUAUUGUGUCGUUCUAAUUGGCCUGGUUCUUUAAUCAGAUCGAUCCUUUUAAUUAACUUGUUGUUCAGACGCUUAUAGAGAACGAGCUGAAAGUAACGAAUAAAAGACGAAAGCCUCGGAAUUCCUGCCUUUAGAUACGAACGAUUUAUGUAUUUUAUGAGCCAUUGACGAAUGUCUAUAAUUCAAGAGAGGAGAACGAAUCUACACGUUAGAACAAAUAAGAAACUUCAUAUGAACGUACGUAAUGGAUGCGAUUAACCUUGCGAAUUUGAACAAAAAUGUCUAAUCUGUCGGCUCGGGAAGUCUAGAGACACCAAGAGGAAAAUAAUUGAGACACAUGUAAUAUAUGCUGCAAUUUCAGUCGUUCGAUCGCGAAAAGUUUGAUUAUCCGAUUUCUCGGUGAUUAAGCAGUUCGGAUAGUCAAGGCUCUAUUGUACAUUUAUUGAUACGAGAAAGAAAAGUAUCGAGGAACGUGGUGAAAUCUCGGAACGAUGUAUUCGUCCCGGUUGGUCCCAGGAAUUUUUCAACGACAUCCGCGGCCCAUUGUGGUUGACUAAUAUACCGCUACAGCGCGUUAACCUUCCAAAGGUAGGAGGAAGGUGCGCCACACCCCCGUCUCUCUUUCGCCGUGAACCACGAGAGCAACGAGAGAUACAGCAACAAUGGCCUCCGUAGAUGGAAGAUUGCACGGAAAGGUGCAACGUUCACG
rnacentral:misc_RNA from 1 species